CGGAGCAACCCCACCUCCGAUUUAGACUUCUUUUACAGGUCCCGACGGCGACCGCGACUCCCUCGACUCCAGCUUCUCUGAUGCAGGUGGAUUUUUGCACCAACAGGAUUGGCGCUAGAAGGAGGGGCCUGUGUCUUCGCAGUACUCUUAUUCUUAAAAGAGCGCUCAACGGGACCGCUUUCGGUCACCUUUUUCGACAUCCACUCCUCCUUCCCCCACUAGAUCUUCGCUCGAUGUCUCCUCGC
rnacentral:lncRNA from 1 species